rnacentral:miRNA from 10 species
GGUGGGUGUAUGUCUGGUCACG